CGUCAUCAUCAUAAGCAGGAACCCAAGUGUCCUUUCCUUGAAGAAUCUCAACAAGAGCAAAUGUACCCUCAGUCAUGAGAUCAUUUCUGGGGCAUGCUGACCAAAACGAAACAGUGACAAGUUCACCCCUCUUGAAGGCGGAGCUUUGAGGAACAUCGGUAAUUAAAUCCCCAAAUUUGGAACCAAGUGGUGUUGCAUCCAUUACAACUGGCGGCAACAAGCCUAUCUGCUUUCCUAGUAAAUUAGGGGCGAAACAGUGACAAGUUCAUCCCUCUUGAAGGCGGAGCUUUGAGGAACAUCGGUAAUUAAAUCCCCAAAUUUGGAACCAAGUGGUGUCGCAUCCAUUACAACUGGCGGCAACAAGCCUAUCUGCUUUCCUAGCAAAUUAGGGGGUUGAGGGCCUGCUUGCAAGGUCUGUCCUGUGAUGAGAGCAGCAGCUAGAGUCUUGAACUGUUGGAUGUAACCGCUAAGUGUAUGUGGACCAUACAGUGUAGACGCACC
rnacentral:lncRNA from 1 species